rnacentral:rRNA from 1 species
GUGCCAGCAGCCGCGGUAAUACCGGCAGCUCGAGUGAUGUCCAAUAUUAUUGGGCCUAAAGCGUCCGUAGCUGGCCGCGCAAGUCCGUCGGGAAGUCCACCUGCCCAACAGGUGGGCGUCCGGCGGAAACUGUGUGGCUUGGAACCGGAAGGCUCAGAGGGUACGUUCGGGGUAGGAGUGAAAUCCCAUAAUCCCGCACGGACCACCGAUGGCGAAAGCACUUCGAGAAAACGGAUCCGACAGUGAGGGACGAAAGCCAGGGUCUCCAACCGGAUUAGAAACCCUUGUAGUCC